rnacentral:rRNA from 1 species
CCCUUAGAUGUUCUGGGCCGCACACGCGCUACACUGAAGGAGGCAGCGUGUACUCCUGGAUCGAGAGAUUUGGGUAACCCGCGAAUCUCCUUCGUGCUAGGGAUUGAGGUUUGCAAUUAUCCUUCAUGAACGAGGAAUUCCCAGUAAGUGCAAGUCAUAAGCUUGCGCUGACUACGUCCCUGCCCUUUGUACACACCGCCCGUCGCUACUACCGAUUGAAUGAUUUAGUGAGGACUUCGGACUGGGACCGAUGCGGCUUUCGGGCUGCGUCGGUAUUCUGGAAAGAUGUCCAAACUGUAUCAUUUAGAGGAAGUAAAANUCGUANCA